rnacentral:misc_RNA from 1 species
GGGUCUUUUGCUGGUUUCGAAAGGAAUCUGCUCCCCUUAAAUGCAUUAGCCGGUGCCCCGCGUGGACCGUCUAUUGGUGUGAUAAUUAUCUACGCCGUUAGACGUCUGCUUUAAAUGGGUUGCGCUGCUUCUAAUCGUCCUCUUAGGACAAUUAUUGACCAUUUGACCUCAAAUCAGGUAGGACUACCCGCUGAACUUAA